AUUGAACGCUGGCGGCAUGCCUUACACAUGCAAGUCGAACGGUAACAGGUCUUCGGAUGCUGACGAGUGGCGAACGGGUGAGUAAUGCAUCGGAACGUGCCCAGUAGUGGGGGAUAGCCCGACGAAAGCCGGAUUAAUACCGCAUACGACCUGAGGGUGAAAGGGGGGGAUCGCAAGACCUCUCGCUAUUGGAGCGGCCGAUGUCAGAUUAGCUAGUUGGUGGGGUAAAGGCCGACCAAGGCAACGAUCUGUAGUUGGACUGAGAGGACGACCCGCCACACUGGGACUGAGACACGGCCCAGACUCCUACGGGAGGCAGCAGUGGGGAAUUUUGGACAAUGGGCGCAAGCCUGAUCCAGCAAUGCCGCGUGCAGGAAGAAGGCCUUCGGGUUGUAAACUGCUUUUGUCAGGGAAGAAAUCUUCUGGGUUAAUACCUCGGGAGGAUGACGGUACCUGAAGAAUAAGCACCGGCUAACUACGUGCCAGCAGCCGCAGUAAGAC
rnacentral:rRNA from 1 species